rnacentral:lncRNA from 1 species
UAGGUAACAGGUACCAGCUACUGUCAGCAGGGAGGAAGGUAUGUGGUGACCACGAGUCCAGACCUGAGGGUCCUGACCCUCUAAUGCGGCCUCUCACCAGUGUUCGCAGAAACCCACCCGCUGAUUCAAUACGGGGACCAGGAACCUGCCAUGACAGUCACGGCUUCCCUCUUGUCUGGAGGAAAAAGAAAAAAGAGAACCAGACUUAGACACAACUUCUUGUGGGCACAUAUUCAGAAGGCAUCUCACUGGAGAGGGUUUAGUUCUCCUUAGCAGAAGAUAAGAUUUCAAGAUUUCAGCUAAGACUCAUCUCUCUGCAAAUCUUUCUUUUGAGAGCAUCUUCACCAGGAGGAGAUUCCAUCUCAAGAGACCACUUUCACUGCUCAUAUGUAAGAAGCAACUCUUCAUCUGUUCAAGUUUGAUCAUGAGAGUGCGGCAAUUCAGUCACAACUUCAGGCUCCACUUCUAGUUCUAGUUCUCUUGCUGUUUCCACCACAUCUACAGCGACUUCCUCCACUGAAGACGUGAACCCCUGAAAGUCAUCUAUGGGGGUUGGAAUCAAUGUCUUUCACACUCCUGUUAAUGUUGGUAUUUUGACCUCCUCCCAUGAAUUACAAAUGUUCCUAAUGGCAUCUAGAAUAAUGACUACUUUCCAGAAGCUUUUCAAUUUGCUUUGCUCAGAUCCAUCAAUGGAAUCACUAUCAAUGGUAGCUAUAUAAAC